CCUACGGGUGGCAGCAGUGAGGAAUAUUGGUCAAUGGGCGGGAGCCUGAACCAGCCAAGUCGCGUGAGGGAUGACGGCCCUAUGGGUUGUAAACCUCUUUUGCCGGGGAGCAAAUUGCCGCACGUGUGCGGUUUUGAGAGUACCCGUAGAACAAGCAUAGGCUAACUCCGUGCCAGCAGCCGCGGUAAUACGGAGGAUGCGAGCGUUAUCCGGAUUUAUUGUGUUUAAAGGAUGCGUAGGCGGACGCUUAAGUCAGCGGGAAAAUUGCGGGGCUCAACCUCGUCGAGCCGUUGAAACUGGGUGCCUUGAGUGGGCGAGAAGUACGCGGAAUGCGUGGUGUAGCGGUGAAAUGCAGAGAUAUCACGAAGAACUCCGAUUGCGAAGGCAGCGUACCGGCGCACAAAUGACGCGGAAGCACGAAGGCGUGGGUAUCGAACAGGAUUAGAUACCCGUGUAGUC
rnacentral:rRNA from 1 species